AGCCUGCUACUCUUUUCCAAACAACCAAGACGGGGGAUUUUGCAGAGUUUGUUUUCCUCAAGUUGGGAAAAUGUGCACUCUGCUACGAUACUAGGCGCAGGGUGCUGCGUAAAGUGUAUGAGGUGACGCAAGAGGAUCAAACUCUAGAGCAGAUCCAUCCUUUUAUGAUGACAUGGCCUCCCAUCUUCCCUGCGCUCAAGCGUGAUCAUCUUGCAAGAAAUGUCAGCUGAAGAACAAGGAUGCAUUAUGAUUUCUGUGGUAUCUGUGUUAGUGGCAAAGGGCACCCGACUUCGCGGAGGAGCAGUGAAUUUCGAGUCUUGUAGUGCAGUUCAAUGUUGCAUUACUGCCUAGACCUGGUUUCGACCUGUUAGUGCUAUCUUUACUUUUUAUUUAAAACAUGUAAUGGAAAUGGGACUCCAGUGUUGGAAUAGUUUCCUUAGAGUUUGAAAGGGGUUGCUUUUUCUGUUCAGUAAGUCUUAACAGUCUCUAAGCUUGUUUUUAGCUUCAGCAAUGGAAUUCUUUUUAGCAAAUAAUCGAUAUUGUGCUUUUCAGCACUUAACAGUGAA